rnacentral:rRNA from 1 species
CACAUGCAAGUCGAGCGGUAACAGAUCCAGCUUGCUGGAUGCUGACGAGCGGCGGACGGGUGAGUAAUGCAUAGGAAUCUGCCCGAUAGUGGGGGAUAACAUGGGGAAACCCAGGCUAAUACCGCAUACGUCGUACGGGAGAAAGGGGGCUUCGGCUCCCGCUAUCGGAUGAGCCUAUGUCGGAUUAGCUAGUUGGUGAGGUAACGGCUCACCAAGGCCACGAUCCGUAGCUGGUCUGAGAGGAUGAUCAGCCACAUCGGGACUGAGACACGGCCCGAACUCCUACGGGAGGCAGCAGUGGGGAAUAUUGGACAAUGGGGGGAACCCUGAUCCAGCCAUGCCGCGUGUGUGAAGAAGGCCCUCGGGUUGUAAAGCACUUUCAGCGAGGAAGAACGCCUAGCGGUUAAUACCCGCUAGGAAAGACAUCACUCGCAGAAGAAGCACCGGCUAACUCCGUGCCAGCAGCCGCGGUAAUACGGAGGGUGCAAGCGUUAAUCGGAAUUACUGGGCGUAAAGCGCGCGUAGGUGGCUUGAUAAGCCGGUUGUGAAAGCCCCGGGCUCAACCUGGGAACGGCAUCCGGAACUGUCAAGCUAGAGUGCAGGAGAGGAAGGUAGAAUUCCCGGUGUAGCGGUGAAAUGCGUAGAGAUCGGGAGGAAUACCAGUGGCGAAGGCGGCCUUCUGGACUGACACUGACACUGAGGUGCGAAAGCGUGGGUAGCAAACAGGAUUAGAUACCCUGGUAGUCCACGCCGUAAACGAUGUCGACCAGCCGUUGGGUGCCUAGCGCACUUUGUGGCGAAGUUAACGCGAUAAGUCGACCGCCUGGAAUGGCA